rnacentral:rRNA from 1 species
GACGAACGCUGGCGGCGCGCUUAACACAUGCAAGUCGAGCGAUGAAAUUUCGACAGAUCCCUUCGGGGUGAAGAUGAAAUGGAUUAGCGGCGGACGGGUGAGUAACACGUGAGUAACCUGCCUUUGACAUUGGGAUAGCCUCGGGAAACUGGGAUUAAUACCAAAUGACACUAACUGAUCACAUGAUCAAUUAGUCAAAGAAAUUCGGUCAAAGAUGGACUCGCGGCUGAUUAGCUAGUUGGUGAGGUAACGGCCCACCAAGGCGACGAUCAGUAGCCGGCCUGAGAGGGUGAUAGGCCACAUUGGAACUGAGACACGGUCCAAACUCCUACGGGAGGCAGCAGUGGGGAAUAUUGCACAAUGGGGGAAACCCUGAUGCAGCGACGCCGCGUGAGCGAAGAAGGCCUUCGGGUCGUAAAGCUCUUUUAUGAGGGAAGAUAAUGACGGUACCUCAAGAAAAAGCCCCGGCUAACUACGUG